rnacentral:rRNA from 1 species
CCUACGGGGGGCAGCAGUGAGGAAUAUUGGUCAAUGGACGAGAGUCUGAACCAGCCAAGUAGCGUGAAGGAUGACUGCCCUAUGGGUUGUAAACUUCUUUUAUAAAGGAAUAAAACGAGGCACGUGUGCCUUUUUGCAUGUACUUUAUGAAUAAGGAUCGGCUAACUCCGUGCCAGCAGCCGCGGUAAUACGGAGGAUCCGAGCGUUAUCCGGAUUUAUUGGGUUUAAAGGGAGCGUAGAUGGGUUGUUAAGUCAGUUGUGAAAGUUUGCGGCUCAACCGUAAAAUUGCAAUUGAUACUGGCAGUCUUGAGUACAGUAGAGGUAAGCGGAAUUCGUGGUGUAGCGGUGAAAUGCUUAGAUAUCACGAAGAACCCCGAUUGCGAAGGCAGCUUACUAAACUGUGACUGACAUUGAUGCUCGAAAGUGUGGGGAUCAAACAGGAUUAGAUACCAUUGUAGUC